rnacentral:rRNA from 1 species
CAGUCGCCGCGGGAAUACGAAGGGGGCUAGCGUUGUUCGGAUUUACUGGGCGUAAAGGGUGCGUAGGCGGAUUGUUAAGUCAGGGGUGAAAUCCCGAGGCUCAACCUCGGAACUGCCUUUGAUACUGGCGAUCUUGAGUCCGGGAGAGGUGAGUGGAACUGCGAGUGUAGAGGUGAAAUUCGUAGAUAUUCGCAAGAACACCGGUGGCGAAGGCGGCUCACUGGCCCGGUACUGACGCUGAGGCACGAAAGCGUGGGGAGCAAACAGGAUUAGAUACCCCAGUAGUCCCUGUCUUUUAUAU